AUUGAAGGAUAAGUGGCCACGUUAGUCGCCUCCCCACCUCCGGCGGCGCCCUCGCCAGCGCUCACGCCGGAGGCGGGCACAACUUGUUUGAAGUACCCCUUGGCCCGCAGCUUGUCGAGGAACUCGCCCCACUCUGGCCACGGGUGGCCGGCCGAUACAGAAGCCACGGCAGGGUCAGCGGCGACAUCGACAGCCGCGGGGGCGGCGGAGCAGAAGCGGAGGGAGAGGAAUGGUACCGGGUGGCGGCGGGAAGCGGUCGGAAGGAGGGAGGCAGAAGUGAGACGGCAGGAGCGGAGGAAGGAGGAGCUCAGGGUGCGGCUUAAGACCUUGGAGGAGGAGGCCAUGGCGGACGGGAAACGGUGGCCGAGAAGAUCAGGCGAGCAUGGAGGCUGCGUGGGUGGGGCUCGGAGAGAUCCGGUCAGCCGGAGAGGGGAAUGGGUGGAGGUUAGGGUUUGCAGGGUUUAACCGGUAUGAAGCCAUCCAUGAAGCUCUUUUCAGCUUUCACUAGCAGGAUAUAGCCACAAAACAUGGCUUCGAUUCGCUUCGCCUUCAGGAAGCUGUUUCGCCAAACGAUUUUCGAAACAACUUCAAAUCGGAGAAGAUGUUCAUCAGAGAAGCUGCUUUAUGAGUUGUUUAGGAGAAACUGAAGCUAUGCCAAACAAAACUUUACUUCUAAUGAAUUUUACAUUUGUUAACUGUUAAGUAUGAUUGAGUUUAACAUGUUGUUUUGGAAAAAUAUAUAUAACAUCUUUGUAAUUUGACAGUU